GGGGCUGUAGCUCAGUGGUACAGCUUCUGCUUUGCAUGCUGAACGUCUCAGAUUCAAUCCCCUACAUCUCUA